rnacentral:rRNA from 1 species
GCCAGCAGCUAGCUCUCUGCAACUCUCACAUGAAGCUGAAGCUAAGCAGGGAUGUGCCUGGUCAGUACCUGGAUGGGAGACCACAUGGGAAAGCUAGGUUGCUGCUGAAU